ACCUGACUGCUAUCGGAUUGAUACUAAGCCAUGCGAGUCAUUGUAGCAAUACAAGGCAUACGGCUCAGUAACGCGUAGUCAACCUAACCUAUGGACGGGAAUAACCUCGGGAAACUGAGAAUAAUGCCCGAUAGAACACUAUACCUGGAAUGGUUUGUGUUCCAAAUGAUUUAUCGCCAUAGGAUGGGACUGCGGCCUAUCAGUUUGUUGGUGAGGUAAUGGCCCACCAAGACUAUUACAGGUACGGGCUCUGAGAGGAGUAGCCCGGAGAUGGGUACUGAGACACGGACCCAGGCCCUAUGGGGCGCAGCAGGCGAGAAAACUUUGCAAUGUGCGAAAGCACGACAAGGUUAAUCCGAGUGAUUUGUGCUAAACGAAUCUUUUGUUAGUCCUAGAAACACUAACGAAUAAGGGGUGGGCAAGUUCUGGUGUCAGCCGCCGCGGUAAAACCAGCACCUCAAGUGGUCAGGUUGAUUAUUGGGCCUAAAGCAUCCGUAGCCGGCUCUGUAAGUUUUCGGUUAAAUCUGUACGCUUAACGUACAGGCUGCCGGGAAUACUGCAGAGCUAGGGAGUGGGAGAGGUAGACGGUACUCGGUAGGAAGUGGUAAAAUGCUUUGAUCUAUCGAUGACCACCUGUGGCGAAGGCGGUCUACCAGAACACGUCCGACGGUGAGGGAUGAAAGCUGGGGGAGCAAACCGGAUUAGAUACCCGGGUAGUCCCAGCUGUAAACUAUGCAAACUCAGUGAUGCAUUGGCUUGUGGCCAAUGCAGUGCUGCAGGGAAGCCGUUAAGUUUGCCGCCUGGGAAGUACGUACGCAAGUAUGAAACUUAAAGGAAUUGGCGGGGGAGCACCACAAGGGGUGAAGCCUGCGGUUC
rnacentral:rRNA from 1 species